GUUUGGAGCUGGAAGAAGAAUUUGUCCCGGACUUAAUUUAGCUUUGCUCCAUUUGGAAUAUUUUGUGGCUAAUUUGGUUUGGAAUUUCGAUUGGAAGGUUCCAGAGGGCGGGCAUGUUGAUUUGACGGAAAUACAAGAAUUCACUAUGGUGAUGAAAAAUCCAGUGCAAGUUCAUAUUUCUCCUAGGAUAUAGAUUAUGUGUGUUAUGUGUAACGAUGUGGAGUAUUUCUCCUAGUUCAUAUUUCUAAUUUUUUAAUACUUACAACAAGUAUCCUAAAGACACUCUUUAGUAUUUGACGAUUUGCCAUUCUCAAGUCUUCACUUGCAUCAGAUAUUGACUUCAUAUGCAAAUUAGAUAACACUGUUUUCAUUGAUCUUAUGGUUGUAUAGUGUGAUAUGCAAAGAUUGUGGAGGCCAAAUUGAACUUCUUAUUAGACAGGCAGAAGAUUAUAACACAGAGAAGGUUGUGGACGACUGGAGGUGACGUGACGUAUAUAAUUUACAAAUGAUUUUUAUAAUGAGCGUACUUGGAACACUCUUUAAAUAUUCUAAAAUACGAAUUAUUCUUUUAAGAAAAUCGAAUAUUUUGAUUUUUAAUACAUUGAAUACACGUAUUUUCAAUACUGCUUAUUAUAUAUGGUUUUUAGAGAGUGCUCCAUAACACUAGUAAACAUUUAUCUUUUUAAAAAGUAGGAAUAAAAAAAUUGAGUAAUCAGAAAAAUUGAUGACCAAUCAUAAGUGUGAAUAAAAAUAGAGCGAAUAGAUAAAUUGAUCCUCAAAAUUAUAAAACAUCUAUCAAAAUAGUCAUUGAUUUUUUUGCCACAAAUUCUUCCAUAACUCUUGUGGUUAUAAUUUGUAAAAAAAAAAAAAAAAACUUUUGUUGGUAUAAGGUAGGACCAGCAUUCUAUAUUGAGGCUGUAAGAAAAAAACAAAACAUUCUACAUUGAGGUGACAUUGACAAUGACGUAGAAACAACCUUCAAUUAUAUCACGUCACAGUAACAACAGAGAGAUCAUUUUUCAAAUGAAUGUCAUGGAAAAUUUCCAUUUCCAUUGGAAAUCAUACUAGAAAACAGAGAGAAAAUUAUUACCUGAUAGCAAUAUCACUUAGUUAGCUAUUGCUUGCUGCGCAAGUAACUGAGCUUAAUUAGGAUUAUAUUUCUCUUUAGUUUGUCCAUAGUAGUUUAUCAUGCAUCUAGAUUCUUGUAUAUAUACCGAUUGUAAGCUCUCAUUUGAUCAAUAACAAUUCAUUCUAUUCAAUCCACUUAGGUUGACUUGUUGGUAUUGGCUUGAGAUCUGGGAGUGUACUCCUCCUCCUCGAGGUCUCAGGUUCGAUUUUCUUCGGUGUCAAUUUGAGUGGGCUAAUUUGGCUUCUUCAAAAAAAAUAAAUUCAUUCUAUUCAUUUUACUUGGUUUCCGUAUAAAAAUAUCUCAUCUUGUAAUUGUGGUUCAAUAGAAAUUAGAUUGAAUGAAAAGACUUCAAGGAAAAUGCUCAUAUACAAGCAAUAGAAGAAAUCUGCUAUAACAUAUUCAGUUAGAGAUUACAGUUCAAAAGCCUAUCUAAUUAAUCAACUCCAAGUGUGUAACAGUUUUAGAAGAACACUUCUAUGGUCAAAACCCCAAAUAUAAUUCAUUCGCACAUUCACAAAACUUGAAAAAGGUACAAUAGAAAACAAUUGAAUAAAUCCUAAAAAAAAUUGAAUAUAUAAUGUGUAUUUUUGACAUAAUUAAAUAAAAUGUAUUGUUAUGUGUGUGUGGCCACAUAAUUUUUAUUUUGGCAUGUGAUCAUAGAAAUAUUUCUCACAAUUUUAAAUAACAUUUUACUAUUUAAGAGGUGUAUUUGUAAUACAAAAAAUAAUGAGCUAGUUUAAUAGAUUCCUACAAACCUAUCUAACUAGGACCACUCAUUUUUGUACACAAUAAGGACAGUACAGACAUAUUGUCGUGCCACAAAAGUAAUCCACUUCAGAUCAUAUAUUAUGGGUACUGUUUUGUCUAACCAAAAAGGACAAUAUUUAAUUUUGAAAAAACAUAUUUUAUUCUUAUUAAGAAUUUUGAAAUUUUAUUUCAAAGAUUUAUAUAUAACGAUAAAAUUAACAUAUUAACAAUUAUAAAAUAUUCAAAUGUCUAGAUGAAAUAAAUAAUUUUGUACUAUUUAGAUAAAAACAUUUUAAAUCAAAAUGACAUUUUUAUAGCUAUGAAUGAAAACAAUUUUUUUUUAAUGAAGUUAGUUAUCCACCAUUCAACUCAAAGAUUUUUAAUGUUAUGUACAUCUUCUGUUAAUGAAGUUAGUAUGAUGAUCUACAACUGCAAGUAACAUCCAAAGUCUUGUCCAUGGAACCAUUGAUAAUUAAUGUCAUCCCCCAUGAUUCCCACAACUUCAUGGUUUACACCAAAGAUGUAUUGUAUAACUAAAAUUUGUACAUUUGCCCCGAUGUCCAUGCUGGGUAAGUACUAAUGGAAAUAAAGUUUCAAUCUUUUUUGCAUUUUUGGUAUAGCAUGUGAGAAUAAACGACCAAUUUUGGGUUUGUUACAAUUUUGGACAUGUAAUCUUUGUUUUUGUGAAGUGUUGCCUUUUUUUGUUUCCCCCUUCUAUUAGUGUUGGUUAUAAUGUUGUUUUUUGUUUUGUAGGUUACUUGCUAUAUUUUGUGUGAUUAAUUUGUUAAACUAUUUGGAUCUAGGAGCAAUAGCUAGUGUUGUUUUAUGGAUUUAGAAAUAAUAUCUUGAAAAGAAAUUUACCAUCCAAGAGUUUAUCGAUCCGCUCUCUUUAAAAUAUUUCGUUUAAAUCUGAUCCAACGAAUUAUCUGAAAAUUUUCGAUUAUAUCCACUUGCACUUUUGGACUUUAACAUUUUCAGGUGAUAAAAAAUAUAUAUCUUUUUGACCCAGACCCAAGCCCGGUCAAACAACAGCGUCGCGCGUGAUAAAUAUAUUUUCUUGAGCGCUCACUGCAUUCACAAAAGUGUUUUCUCUCCUAUGUGAAACAUUCUUUCAAUUCCUACAACACUAGUUCUAUCCAAUGAGACUUUGUGUUACUCUUCCAUCUUGCACUCAUUAAUCUGGUGUUCAAACAACUAGCAAUGGUGUUAAUAAGGGAACAUGCACUGAAUAUGCUGCUGCUACUUGGACUUCUACUACAGGAAUACAGUAAGAUAUAAUGCAAUUAACACCUUCCUUUUUCAGAACAAGAAAUCAAGAACUCAUGGUUUAGAAAAAAGGUUUUACCUUUAAAAUUCAAUGCCAAAUGAAAAAGCACUCGUGCAAGAUAUCCUAAAAUUAUUGCAACAAGGGAAUAAGCAAAAUGGGGAUCAUCCUUGGUUACAACCAAGUUUUCGUCCAGGCUAGGCUCAAGUAAUCACAUUUGGGAAUAUUUGAGUUCAAAUCGUGGCUGAAGCAAUCCUUGGUGUUUUGUUCGAUGCCCAUAAAUCCAACGCCUUAAGAUUUUAUGCUAAGAUGUGGUGUCCACAACUCACUUGUAUGGUUGCUUUGGUGCCUACGUGGAUGAUCUUUGGGACUUCCCUCGUGAGCCAACACUUGACUAGACUUUACUCAUCUCUCAACCAAACUACAAUUAUUAGGACCUCUUUUCCUUAGAAACUAGAGGGAUAAGACCAAAAAUUAAUUAUUGUAAUUUUAAUGUAUCUAUUACCAGUCUAACGCACAUGCUAGAUAUUCUAGGUAAUUUCUAGAAUAAGUGUUACAAUAUUUAUCUCAAUACCUAAAAUGGCUACCAAGUUAUUUUUUUGACGGAAGGGUUUGGGAUGGUGGAAGGCUAUGAAUUUGAACUCCCUUUAUAACAUCACAGUAAAUUACAAAUGAGUUGACAAAGAACUUACUAACAAUCCCUUCCUUUUAGUUAUUAAAAAAAAAACACCUUUUAGAAUGUAACUAUUUUUUUUAGGGCCUAAUGAAUCUCUGGUUCUUUUUGUUGGGCCGAAAUUUCAUAUUAAUUUUUUGGGAUCUAGGAUGGUCGUCCUCCUUACCCUGCCUCAGAUACGGCCCUGAUGCGAUCUAGUCCCAAUUUUUUUUGUUUAGAUGUGGGGUACUUAUAACUUUGUUAAAUAUUGAGAUUGGGAUUACGCAGUAUUAGAAUUUCGGGGUUUAUGUUUGAUCAUGUUGGUGUUAAUAGAUUAAUUAGGCAAAAUUUGAGUGUCAUAUUACAAAUUUACAAUCGAAUGUUGAUGUUGGUAGCAACUUCUUAUGAAUCCAAACACAUCAAAAUUUUUGCGAUGCAGAAUGAGCUUAAGAAAGAAAAAAGAAAGCGAAGAGUAUUAAAUAAAAUUGCUGCAAAUUUGGAACAUGAUUGAAGUAAAAGAUACUUAACUGAAUAGACUUGAUAGCAGGUACGUCCAAGGAAAGAGCAAAGCAAAUGUAAUUUAUUCUGAUAAAAUAGAAACAAUGACGGUGCACCUAAACAAAUAGGGUCAAAUGCAUCUAAAAGUCCUUUAAGUUUUUUAUUUCUUCCAAAGUGGUCCUUUAAGUUUCAAAGGUCCCAAAUAAGUCCUUUUAGUUUUUGAAUUGUUUCAAACAAGUCUUAUUGUAGAUAGCAUAGUUGGUAAUUGUUUCCUUGAACUCAUCUUUGGUACCAAAUCUGGCUCCUAACACUCACUUAAAAUUAGUCAUCUUUUUAGGCAUGGUAAAUGGUGGAUAAUGCUAUUUGUUGUUAUCAUGUAAAUCAUCAUCAUCAUCCUCGAAAAGGACUUGUUUGAAACGAUUCAAAAACUAAAAGGAUUUGUUUGGGACUUUUGAAACUUAAAGGACCAUUUUGGGACUUUUGAAACUUAAAGACGACUUUGAGAAAAACGAAAAACUUAAAGGACCUUUAGAUACAUUUGACCAAACAAAUAGUAAUGUAGUAAUUUUAUUUUAAAUAGAUUCAAUGAAAGGAAUGAUAAUAGUGGGGAGCAGAUUCUUGAAAAGGAUGGAGAACGACUCAUCACCAACUAUUAUAUAUCAAGACAACAAUUGUAGUCAAAUUUGUUUAGUUGUUUUUGUGUUAGUGAAUUCUAGAGUCCUUUAUUAUAAGAAGAAAAACGAAUAAAAAAUAUCAAACCAAGACAAUAAUUAAUAGUUGCAACAUUUUGAAUGUUUUUAUAAUUAUACUUUCAUCGAAAUUUGUAAAAUAUUAAAUAUACUAUUAAUAUUAAAAAGAGAAAUAUUAAACGAAGGUUAAAAAGUCUUUUAACUAAUAAAUAUAUUUUAUAAGUUGUGACUUUUUUCUUUUAAACAUAAUUAAUUUUUUUCUUCUUCUUCUUAAUACCCGUGGGAGCAUUAUUUUUUGAAAAAUGCUAGGAUCCCACUUCCUAACACACUAUUUUAACACACACCAAUAAAAAUUAGCCAUCAUCUACUUUUUUAAUUUCUUUACAUGCUACCGGUUCAUUUUUGUAACCAAUUAAUUUAUCAUUUUAUUAUUAUUAUUAUUAUUAUUAUUAUUAUUAUUAUUAUUAUUAUUAUUAUCAUUAUUAUUAUUAUUUAUUUUAAAUUUUCAUCUCUCAACACUCAACUUCUCCACCAAAACCGUACAUGCUUCUCAUAUGCCAAAAAAAUAAUAUCAAAGUUGCUGCUUUUUGCUCAAAUUAAAUUGAAUGGAAAUGGAAAGUUGAUGGGAGUUGUAGCUUUUCAUGUUUCUGACCCAUCAAAAAUGAAGUUGUUGCACAAAUAUACCCGAAGAUUUUUUUUCCAUUGAAGCCUCAAAAGCCAAAACAUCGUAUAGAACAUAGAUCUGGAAAAUUUCAUCAACGGCCAAGUCAACGACGGCCACCGGAGCUUUCAACAAUGACGAUACGUUGGCAGUUAGUUAAUAGAGACGAGAUGCGGCAGAUUGAACCAUGAGAGAAAGAUGUGUACUAAUUGAAAUGAGAAGAUGCGAUCCACAUAUUGAAAGACGAUGAGAUUGCAAUUAAAUUCUAUAAAAAAAUAAAUAAGAAUUUUUAAACAACGUGUUAGACCGUUGAAUAGGUAAAGAGAUAAAGUAAGUUGAUGAGGUGGUUAAUUUUUAUUGGCAUGUGUUAGAGAAUGUGAUCCUAGCCUUUUUUAUUUAUUUUUUAUUUGUGCAGAAUGGAUGCUUGAGUCAAGAAGUGGUGAAAACUAAUAUGAUGUUAAUUGUGCUGUGUAUAUGCAUGCAUACAAUCUCUCAUACGGAGUGGAAUUUGAAACCACUUCAAAAAUAUAUCAUGGUUUUGUAUUUCUGUUUCUGUCUUGACCACUUAAUUCCCCUUAAAAAACAAUAAUGUCAAUUUUCAGCAAUAAAACAAUAAUGUCAAUUUGUAGUGUUUAUCUAGUGCACGAAUUGCGAAAAAGGUUACUGUGCUUCGGAUUUUGCAUUUCCACUUUAAAUGAAAAUGGGACAAGUUGGCAAUUAAAAUUAGUUUUUUGGGGAACUUCUAUGGUACACUCACAAUUUUGAGUGUACCGGUACUCUUGUUUCAUAAAAUAUAUAAAUUAAAGAUCACUUUAAUGAAAUAAAAAGGUAUUUGUCAAUAUUUAUAUUUUAGAAAACAUCAUUUCAUAAGAAAAACCAUCAUUUCAUUGUUUAUAAGGAUCAUAUUACAAAAUUUACAUUUUGUCAUAAAAAAUAAUUAAUAUUCAUUGUUAUGAGUAAUAAAAAUUCUUAAAAAUUAAAUUUUAUUUCGUCGAAGCUUUUGAUAUAUAAAAUUUAAUUAUCUUAGUUGUCAAUGAUAGAAAAUAAUUAUUUUUCUUCAAAAAAACAACUCAUUUAUUAUUAAUUUUAUGACUUGGUGUACCGAUACACCCAAAUUUAUUGGAUGUACCAUAAAAUAUGCCUAAUUAAAAUGAUUAAUUGCACAAACAAAAUGCAUCAAAUUACCUUAAAUCACAAAUUAUAAGUUGUUUUUAAGAAAAAAAUUAUCCCAAAUUUCCUAUUGUAUACCCUUGACUAUUUUUUUUUUUAACAAACGCUUGACUAUUUAAUAUUCUCUUUUCUUUCAAUUAUUUAAAUUUUUAUUCCUUAUGCCAUUAAGGAAAUAUAUUUUUGUAAAACUACAUAUAAUAUCAUUUUUUUUCAUAUAACAUUGACUAUAUUCUUAAAAAUAAUCAAAACUAUUUAUAAUUUGGAGGGGAAAGAUAAUUGUUUUGACAUUAUAAUAUUUAGGGGUCAUGAGUAGAAAUAAUUAUUUUCCCUAACUUCACUUUAAGAGUGUGUUUGGUUUAGGAGAGAAGUUGUGAAGAGAGAGUAUAGGAAGAGAUAAAUAGGUGAGAAAUAUAGUAGAUUUGACCUAUUGUUUGGUAUAAGAGAGAAAUGAAAGAAAUAGAGAAGAGAGAAGUGUGUUAAGCUUUUGAAAGGCCAAAAUAUCCCUACUAAACUUUAAUAUACAAUUUUAUUAUAUAUGAAUUAAUUUCUUAUAAAAAUUGAUAUAAUUUUUUACAUUAAUUUAAUUAAGAAACUAAUUAAUUUUUUUACAAAGAAAUUUGAUAACUUAUUUGCUUAAUUAAUUAAUUAUUUACAAUUUUACAAUUUAUUCCGUUAAACUAUUUCAUUAGUUAACUAACUACUAGUUUAACUUUAUUUAUUAUAAUAAAAGAGGAUUCAAAUAAAGAGUUAAAGGCAAGAGAGUUGCGUAUUAGUUUUUGUUUUUACCUACUACAACAAAAACCAUGAAAACAAUACAAUAGUGGUAACAAAAAAAAAAGGACAAUAGUUUUAUAUCAGCCACAAUAUCAGGGAUAGUUUUGGAAAUGCUUAAAUAUGUAUUUCAUCCUUGCAAUUAGGGUAGUUUAAAAAUUGGUCUAUGUAAUCGCUAAUUCUGGCAAUUUACCCUUGCAUUGUUUAAUCAUUUAAAAUUUCGUCCCUCUCCCCACUUAAUUAAUGCCACGUCACUAAUUUGAUGACGUGACAAUCACUGUCACACAUGAAAUUCCAAUUUUACCCCUGGGUUUCCAAUUCUUUCUUCAAUAUUGUGUCCUCUUCUUAAGGGCAAAAUUGGAAUUUCAUGUGUGGUAGUGAUUGUCACGUCAUCAAAUUAAUGAUGUGGCAGUGAUUAAGUUGGUCAAAAGAUGAAAUUUUAAGUGAUGGCAAAAUAGCACAAUUAGUCCCUUAACUUUAUUUUAGGUAACACUUUCGUCCUUUAUUUUUUUUUGUCACGAUUUAGUCCUUUAUGUUAUAAAAUGACAAUAUCUUAUCAUUUUUUAUGAGAUUUUUUUCAAAGAAAUUUGAUUUUCUAUGCUUGUAUGAUGAAGAUUUACGUUUGCCUAUGAGUUUGAUGAUUUUUUUUGGAGUUUUUGAUUAUUUUUUUCAUGAAAAAGGAUAACUAUGUUGUUAUUUUAUAACAUAAAAGACUAAAUCGUGACAAAAGAAGAUAAAGGACGAAAGUGUUACCUAAAAUAAAGUUAAGGGACUAAUUGUGUAAUUUUGCCUUAAAUGAUUAAUGAUUGCAAGACUAGUUUGCAACGAAUAGCGAAUACAUGAACCAAUUUUUAAACGACCCCUAAUUGGAAGGAUGAAAUACAUAUUUAAGCCUUUUGAAAAAGAGCAAAAAGUUCACAUCUCUACUCUAUUUCUUGGCAAUUCAAGAGAAAUAAAACAGGCAUGGGUCCCAUCAUAUUUGGACUCUCUCUUCAAUCUCUAUUCUCAACCAAACAUGAGAAGUUGUUUCUCUAUAUCCAACUUCUCUCUCCCCUCUUUCUCUCUUUCUUAUUUCUCUUCUACCAAGCAGAGUUAAAAUGAAAGUUAAAUGCUAACUUGUGGCAUCAAGGACACAUGUUAAGACAUUCAUUAUAAAAAUUAUGUAUUGAAAUUCGUGCAUUUAACUUCUUAGUAGUUAAAAUAUUAUGUUUUUCAAUGCAGAGUUAGCCGUGAAACCCCGAUACUUCAAAAUGGAUGACGUAUCGUAUCCCCUGCGUAUCUUGCACCGAUACUUGCUUGAUACUUCCUGAUACGUAUCAGAAGAGUAUCCGAAGAUUAAAUUUUAUUUUUUUAAAAAAUAAUUAUCCGAUACGUCCCGAUACGUAUCAGGAGAGUAUCCGAUAAUUAUCCUGGAUUGAUAUCUGCCCUGAUACUUCCCAAUUAAUGUUAACUAAAAUAACUUAACUAUUGAGUACUGAUGCAUUUUUUUAUGGAUAUAGUGCUUCUUUUUUGGAUUGAUAUAGUAUAACACUAACAAUGUUCCUUUUGGAUAUAGUAUAUCCAUGAUGUGCUCUUUUUGGGAUAUAUUUUCUAAUUAAUUGACUAAUCAUCAUUCUUUUAAUCGUCAAUAUUAUUUAUAUUAAUGUGGAUGUGCUACGAGCCUGACUGGUUUCUUUUAUUUGUUAAUAUAUUUGCAUAUUAAAAAAAAUGGUUAUAAUUAUAUUGUACAUUUUAUUAUAUAAUUUUUUUUAUUAACGUAUCCUAACCGUAUCAUAUCUUGAUUUUUGAAAUUUUUUCGUAUCGACGUAUCAAUGCAGUAUCGUAUCUCGUAUCCGAGCUUCAUAUAGAGUUAGUCAUAUGUGCUCUUAAGAUACAAGAUAACAUGACCCGGAAUGAAAUUUGUUUGUUUGUAUGAGAAGGAGAGACGUGUAACACCACAUCCAUAAAUUCAUAAUCAUAACACCACAUCCAUAAUCAUAUCAUGAUUCCUUUAUAUCAACCCUCACCAUUCUCAUUUUUUGUGUCACACACAUAUCCAUCGUCACAAAAGAGUAAAGUUGCACCAAACAUUUACGUAAAUAUGGAAACAUGGUUCAUCGUCCUCGUUACGCUAUGCAUCAUCUUCCUUAUCAGAGCCAUCCUCUCCUUCUUCACAACCACCGUACCCCUCCCUCCCGGCCCUCUACACAUCCCCAUCAUCACAAACUUCCAAUUGCUCCAAAAAUCAAUCUCCCAACUUGAACCUUUUCUCAAAACUCUCCAUGCCAAACAUGGUCCUAUCAUCACUGUCCAUAUCGGUUCUCGACCUUCCAUUUUCAUCAACGACCAUGCUCUGGCUCACCAUGUUCUCGUUCAAAACUCAGCCAUCUUCUCGGAUCGCCCCGUAGCUCUUCCUACUUCCAUAAUGUUGUCCAGCAACCAACACAACAUCAGCUCCGCUUUUUAUGGCCCAACAUGGCGUACCCUCCGUCGUAACCUUGCUUCCGAGAUGCUUCAUCCAUCCAAAACCAAAUCGUUCUCAGAAAUUCGGAAGUGGGUCUUACACACUCUCAUCAACCGUCUCAAAACUGCAUCGGAAUCUGAGGAUUCUAUUACGGUCGUUUCUCACUUUCGUUAUGCUGUAUUUUGUUUACUUGUUUUUAUGUGUUUUGGUGAAAGAGUUAACGAUGAGAAAAUCAGUGAUAUUGAGCGUGUACAAAGGACAAUUCUGUUGAAUAUUAGCAGAUUCAAUAUACUGAAUUUUUGGCCGAAAGGUACAAGGAUUUUGUUGCGUAACCGAUGGGAGGAGUUUUUGAAGUUACUUAAGGAUCAAGAGGAUGUUCUGCUUCCGCUGAUAAGAGCAAGGAAGCAAGUUAAGGAGAGUAAAUUGAACAAUGAUAAUACAGUUGUUUCGUAUGCAGAUACUCUUUUAGAGUUGGAGUUGCCCGAGGAGAAACGAAAGUUGAGUGAGAAUGAAAUGGUUAAUCUUUGUUCGGAGUUUUUGAACGGUGGGACGGAUACUACUUCCACUGCUUUGCAGUGGAUUAUGGCGAAUUUGGUGAAGUACCCGGAAGUGCAGGGGAGGCUUGUGGAGGAGAUUCGUGAGGUGAUGGUUAGUGAUGACAAUGGAGAGAAGGAGGAAGUGAAAGAGGAAAACUUGCAGAAACUUCGAUAUUUGAAGUGCGUGGUUUUGGAAGGGAUGAGGCGUCAUCCACCAGGGGCAUUUUGUGUUGGCACACACGGUGAAAGAGGAUGUGGUUUUGAACGGUUAUUUGGUGCCUAAAAAUGGGACGGUGAAUUUCAUGCUGUCGGAGAUGGCGUGGGAUCCUCGUGUUUGGGAGGAUCCAAUGGAGUUUAAGCCAGAAAGGUUUUUGAAGGAUGAGACUUUUGAUAUUAUAGGGAGUAAAGAGAUAAAGAUGAUGCCGUUUGGAGCUGGAAGGAGAAUUUGUCCCGGACUUAAUUUAGCUUUGCUCCAUUUGGAAUAUUUUGUGGCUAACUUGGUUUGGAAUUUCAAUUGGCAGCUUCCGGAGGGUGGCCAUGUUGAUUUGUCGGAAAAAGAUGAAUUCACUAUGGUGAUGAAAAAUCCAUUGCAAGUUCAUAUUUCUCCUAGGGUAUAGAUUAUGUGUGUUAUGUGUAACGAUUUGGAGUAUGUAAUGUUGUGUGAACCAC
rnacentral:lncRNA from 1 species